UACGGAGGGGCUAGCGUUGUUCGGAAUUACUGGGCGUAAAGCGCACGUAGGCGGCUUUGUAAGUUAGAGGUGAAAGCCUGGAGCUCAACUCCAGAACUGCCCUUAAGACUGCAUCGCUUGAAUCCAAGAGAGGUGAGUGGAAUUCCGAGUGUAGAGGUGAAAUUCGUAGAUAUUCGGAAGAACACCAGUGGCGAAGGCGGCUCACUGGACUGGUAUUGACGCUGAGGUGCGAAAGCGUGGGGAGCAAACAGGG
rnacentral:rRNA from 1 species